rnacentral:rRNA from 1 species
AACGAACGCUGGCGGCAGGCUUAACACAUGCAAGUCGAGCGCCCCGCAAGGGGAGCGGCAGACGGGUGAGUAACGCGUGGGAAUCUACCCAUCUCUACGGAAUAACGCAUGGAAACGUGUGCUAAUACCGUAUACGUCCUUCGGGAGAAAGAUUUAUCGGAGAUGGAUGAGCCCGCGUCGGAUUAGCUAGUUGGUGGGGUAAAGGCCUACCAAGGCGACGAUCCAUAGCUGGUCUGAGAGGAUGAUCAGCCACACUGGGACUGAGACACGGCCCAGACUCCUACGGGAGGCAGCAGUGGGGAAUAUUGGACAAUGGGCGCAAGCCUGAUCCAGCCAUGCCGCGUGAGUGAUGAAGGCUCUAGGGUUGUAAAGCUCUUUCACCGGUGAAGAUAAUGACGGUAACCGGAGAAGAAGCCCCGGCUAACUUCGUGCCAGCCGCCGCUGUAACAC